CAAUUGAAUCGCAUCAACUGCAUUAAGAUCUAUAGAAGCAUGACAAUAGUUGUUUGAUACACGUUAUGACUAGAAGCAGAAAAGUUCCGUGACUAUCAGCGGCUUUUACACACCGCCAAGUACUAACCGUAACCACCACUAACUAUACUAUACUACCAACCCAUCCACUAUUUCCACACUGUUCCAUUUCUUCGACUCGAUAACGACGCUACAAACUUUCGUUUUCCCAUCUUUAUUAUCAAAUAAAAUCUCCACGCGAUAAAUUUCCACUUGUCGACACAAAAAUACUCAUUUAAAAAAAUUAUACAAUUAGAUACAACAAUGAAUCAAAAAGUAUGAAAUGAAAAAGGUUUCGAAUACAAGAUAAAACUCAAUCGUGUCAUUUUAAAUGUCAUCCUGUUCCUAUAGAUACCUCUUCCUAUAGAUAUUCUAAAGUAAUCGGAUAUUCCCUCUAAAUUGCAACCGGAAACUUGAACCUUCCACAAUUCCUUGCACACUCUUUUCAAUAUGUUCACGUUAACCAUUUUACCUCUUUGUUUUCGAUGUUUGUCAGUUUGAUUUUUUUUUAUAUUAUGUUUGUUUUAAUAUCAGAGGAAGAAAAAUAACAGGAUGUUUAUGAAAGUCUGAAAAAUUGGCAUGCUUCCACAUCAUCAUGGUUAUGCAUAUAAACGUAUUAAUAAUAAAUUAAUUAUAGGGUUUUAAAAGUCCUAUUAACGUGGAAUCGAGACUCAAAUACGUCCUAAGAAAUGAAAGAGAACAAUAUAUGAUGUCCUAAGGGACGUAGUAUCUUUUCCCACCUUCUUACGUCGUGAUCAUUUAUUAUAUUAUCCUUGAAAAUAAAUUUAUGUGUCUUUAGCUUUCAAAUAGAAAAACUUUUACUUUAUAUUUGGUUUUUUAUUCCAUAAAAACUACUUACAAAGUUCCAUCAAAGAGUUUUGAUCUGAAGAUAUGUAUACGACUGAUACAGGAAUGUUUAUCUUUUGAUAUGUUUCUUUUUUUGUUUGUACUUGAGCCACAUGAAAGCUCAAGCCACGUGAAAUUAAUUUAUUUGUCUAUAGAGAGACAGAAAAUAUGAAACGAUUCAUAUUAAAUACAACUUUUAAGUGGAUAUCUAGUUAAUGAUUUGAAGAUUACAUUGAAGUACGAUGGAGAAUUUAAAUUGGUGUAUGUUAGUAACAUUUCAAUAUUCAUGGCUGACACAACAUAUUUUUUACUACUUUUUACCUCUUAUUUUCCUACACUAUUUCAUCAAUUUCUCAAAUACUUGAAAGAAUUUUCCUACACAUUUUCAACAUUCAAGAAAAAAGUUUUCUUCUUAACAUAUUACUUACCAGGAGAUAGAUAAUUCCACCAAGUAACUAUUUUCAACAAAUAAAAUACGUCGCUAUUUGUUU